ensembl:lncRNA
GGGGGCGGUGAUGAGCGGAGGAUUCAUACUGUAUUCAUACACAGAUCGAAGAAGAAGAAGACGAACCGAGGCGCAUAAUCAGCCAAAAUGAUCGGAGAUCUUUUAAUUUUUGGGACUCUGCUCGUGAACGCCGGCGCUGUGCUCAACUUCAAACUAAAGAAGAGAGUAACGCAGUCUCAAGGGUUUGGCGAUGAACCCGGAUCGUCCAGCACUGGUGACAACAUCAGAGAGUUUUUGCUGAGUCUGCGGUACUUUCGCAUAUUCAUUGCUCUUUGGAACAUUUUCAUCAUGUUUUGCAUGAUCUUGUUAUUUGGAUCAUAGAUUGCGGUUACAUCACUGCAGACACAAAAGAGAGAAUUGUUGCAGCAUUGGGUGGAUUUAUCGGAAUGAGUUUUUUUUUUUAGUGUGGGAUGUCUUGAAGUCUUAAGACGUCUGUAUAUUUUGUACAAAAGAUUGAUAUUGCCUUUUCUGUCUGUGAAUCAAAUGGGGACAGAACACAUUUCUUAGUGCCCUAUACAAAUGUCAGUUAUUUCAAUUUUAGUGGAUGUACAAUUCACUAAUUUAAAACCUUGGAGAAGCAGGCUUUGUGACCAUUCAUAUAACAGAAGAAACAUGUAAAGAGCUACUGCUUGGUUAACAUGGAAGAAUGCUUUAAAACCGUGUGCAGUAUAGUAUUUAAUUAUGGUGUUAAAUGCAUAAGAGCACCAUUAUCUUGAUAGGACCUAAAAAUAAUGACCUCUAAGUUCCUGCAUUUUAGACACAACCUACAUUAAUCAUACAAUUUAACAUUUGCAUGACCCCCACACAAAUUUCACACCACUGAAAGCUUAGCUUGAUUUACAUUAUUUGACCUCUAUAAAAAGGUCACACACAAAAAAAGCCCCCCACACACAGUUUUCAUAAAUGCAAAGUCAUUAACUAGUUUUAUUGAAACAGUAAAAGAGGUAACUGCCUGCUGAAAGACCAUUUACACAAGCAUAGAACCAACAAGUUACAAGCAAUAAUUAGUGAAAGCAUUCUGAGAAAUUAAAGUUGAACAAACUUGAAUGCCUCAAAAAGCAUGUUGGAACACUAGUAGGUCAAAAUAAUAGCAACUUUAAUACUCUAAAACUUUAAAAAGGUAUUUCCUCUCCUAUGGCUGGUAAACACUAGUCUGCUUUGAGAAAACCCCUCGUGUAUGUCAUCCACUGCUCCACGUGGGCUUGGCACUGAAGGGCAUUCAGGAACACAGGUCGCUCAAACGCCUAGAAAAAGGAAGAAACCAUUAGAUUUUACUUCACAUUUAAGCUGGAGAAUGGGAAAAAUAAAAUACACUCUUGGAAAAAAUAAAUACCUUCACAUGUGGCCAUUCGUCAAGGGUCUCUCAUUGUGUGGUCCUCUUGAAUUACAGAAUUCUCCUUUUUUUGGAAAGACAUAAAAAAGGACUUCAGAACAAGAAAAGUACCACUAUGUAUGCAAAGCGAUUCUAAUGGUGCUUCAGAGAAAUUGGCUUAAAGUUUAGAGCAAAUGUCAACAGUGUCGAUCUGCUGGGGAAAAAAGAUCAGUCAUCAUUGCUAACAAAAGUGUUGAAGCAAAGUCUAGAGGAAAUCUAAACUCACCAAAAUCUGAGGAAGCACUGUAGGAAACCUCCAUGGUCCAACAGCCCACAUACUGUAAAACAAACAGAUAUAGAGUGAAAUUCAUAAUACAGCUGCUAAGAUAGUGUAGCCACUGGAAAAAACCUACUGCUUAAUUACCAUGUGCAACGUUGAAACAAUUGAAUAACAUUAACUUGUGUGCAUCCAUCUUAGUAACAACCAUAUGCUCUAAAUAGGCUAGUAUAAUAGAAUAGUAAACCAGAACCAGUCAAGGUUUCUUUGUCUCUAGAACUUUCCCGGGUGCACAGGAAACGAGCCACGUGGUCAGCGCGGAACUACACGAAAAUCCUUAAUUUUAGUUAUUUUAAUUUUAGUUUUAUUCGUACAACUUUAGCACUGUGUAACACUACAGAACGAGACUUAAAAAACUUUUCUAGUAGAAAGAAAUAAAUAAAAACCACAAAGUGCUUACCCUUCACAAGAAAC